CGUUGUAGUUGCGUGAAAGGUACGAGUGAUUGUAGUCUGGUCAGCUGCCUUCACUAUAAUUUAAGUAACCAGGAUUUUCCACUUUGUGGAACCCUCAUACGUCGAAAUCGACGGAGUCCAUUAUUAUUAUUAUUAUUAUUAUUAAAGAGUUCCACUUUUGCAAUGUACAUACAAAUACAAGCGUAGAACACAAUAGCAAAUGCACGAUGGCGUAAAGUUGAUAUACUUUCAUUGAUACAUAUUGUACAAUUCGUAAUUGGCGGCAAUUUUACUUGAAGCUACUCUGUUAAAGGACACGUACUAGGUAAAUCGGCAUUGUUGAUAUCGUUUUGAAUUUGUAGUUUCAACUGAAUUGGAACAGUUUUCAUUUGUUUUGGCCACUCAUGAAAAUUCAGUUAAAUUUCUAAUUGCUUUAAAGCGUGCAUAUUAUCUAACACAAUUAUAGUGCACGUUACCCUCUGUAUCGUAAAGAAAAAAAGAUUGUGGAGUUUUUAAAAAUUGUUAAAAAUUAUACGUUUUGUUUAUAUAAGGAGCUGUUUCCGGAAUAAUUCAUGUUUUGUAUUAUUUAGGCGUUGUUUGUGGAAUAAUUUAUGUUUUGUCUCAUUUAGGCGUUGUUUGUGGAAUAAUAUAUGUUUUGUCUUGUUAAUAUAUUUAGCAAAAAAAAUUGUAAACAGUACACUGUCUCAUUUUGAACUGUAACCAUCUUGCUCAGUUUCAACAAUAUAUUUUAGAUUGCAAGGGAUCUUGUGCGUUUUCUUGGCAAAUAUCUUUCCAACUUUGGAGAAAUAGUUUGCCAUUGAUUAGCGGGAGCGCGAUUUCUGUAUCGCACUCACUGAGUGUUCUUUAGGACAACCAUCUAUUCGUGUAUUCUAAAAGCACACUCACAUUAUAUUUACAUUACAUCUUCCAUAUUUUACCUCUGAAUUCAUUCUUUCAUUCAUUCUUGUAGAUAUUCAAGGAGCAAAGCUCCCUUUUCUUAGAUUCGAUUCUCAACCGUCACGCUCGAAAAUUGUUAUCAAACAACAGACUUAAAGAUCUUGGCCAAUUUUCAGCUUACCUCGUUCAACCUACGGGCAUGGCUCAGUAAAGAAAGAGUGUAUAAAUGGUGAAGAAAUUAGGAAAAAAUAUCUGUGGGAAUUCAGCGUUAGAGUAAAGCCUCUAUGGUCGAUAUUAAAUUCAAAAUACCUUCAGAAUAAUACUAUCGGUUAUGAAUUAUGAGUUUCUAAAUACAGAGCAUUGAUAUUCAUUUAUAUGAUAUUUUCGCCUAUUUUCGAGAUUGAAGUGUGGAUACUAAUUUCUUUGUCGUCGCUGUAUUUUCUAAAAUUAAACAUAGAUAUUUUAUAGACUUUGCUUAGUGAAAUCGUUGUAGUCAUCUUAUUGAUAUCAGAUCGUCGCUCAUCGAAUGAUCUGGAGGUGGAACUAGUUAAUAAUUCAUAUAUUGUUGAGAAAUCUACCUCACUCUAUUUUUUAUUACGUAUUGUCGUAUUAUUGAAUGAAGAAUAAAAAAAUGGUUUUGUUGUUAGCAAA